AGUGAACGCUGGCGGUAGGCCUAACACAUGCAAGUCGAACGGCAGCACAGAGGAGCUUGCUCCUUGGGUGGCGAGUGGCGGACGGGUGAGGAAUACAUCGGAAUCUACUCUGUCGUGGGGGAUAACGUAGGGAAACUUACACUAAUACCGCAUACGACCUACGGGUGAAAGCAGGGGACCUUCGGGCCUUGCGCGAUUGAAUGAGCCGAUGUCGGAUUAGCUAGUUGGCGGGGUAAAGGCCCACCAAGGCGACGAUCCGUGGCUGGUUUGAGAGGAUGAUCAGCCACACUGGAACUGAGACACGGUCCAGACUCCUACGGGAGGCAGCAGUGGGGAAUAUUGGACAAUGGGCGCGAGCCUGAUCCAGCCAUACCGCGUGGGUGAAGAAGGCCUUCGGGUUGUAAAGCCCUUUUGUUGGGAAAGAAAUCCAGCUGGCUAAUACCCGGUUGGGAUGACGGUACCCAAAGAAUAAGCACCGGCUAACUUCGUGCCAGCCGCCGCCGUAA
rnacentral:rRNA from 1 species